AACGUAGGUGGCGAGCGUUAUCCGGAUUUACUGGGCGUAAAGGGUGCGUAGGCGGCGCGGUAAGUCGGGUGUGAAAUCUCGGGGCUUAACUCCGAAACUGCAUUCGAUACUGCCGUGCUUGAGGACUGGAGAGGAGACUGGAAUUUACGGUGUAGCGGUGAAAUGCGUAGAUAUCGUAAGGAAGACCAGUGGCGAAGGCGGGUCUCUGGACAGUUCCUGACGCCGAGGCACGAAGGCCAGGGGAGCAAACGGG
rnacentral:rRNA from 1 species